UUCCUUCGUGUGCCACGUGUCACGUUUCGUAAAGUCUGCUAUUGCUUUCUUCUUUUCCUAAACCCAACCGGUUCUUCUUUUCCAAAACCCAACCCGUCUGCUGUAUACGGCGCUCAAAAUGCGUACACAUAACACCACACUUGGCUUUAGAAAAUGGCGUGUAUGUUUAUGUCCACUGUAUACAGCGUAGA